rnacentral:rRNA from 1 species
GAUGAACGCUGGCGGCGUGGCUAAUACAUGCAAGUCGAGCGAACGGACGAGAAGCUUGCUUUUCUGAUGUUAGCGGCGGACGGGUGAGUAACACGUGGAUAGCCUACCUAUAAGACUGGGAUAACUUCGGGAAACCGGAGCUAAUACCGGAUAAUAUUUUGAACCGCAUGGUUCAAAAGUGAAAGACGGUCUUGCUGUCACUUAUAGAUGGAUCCGCGCUGCAUUAGCUAGUUGGUAAGGUAACGGCUUACCAAGGCAACGAUGCAUAGCCGACCUGAGAGGGUGAUCGGCCACACUGGAACUGAGACACGGUCCAGACUCCUACGGGAGGCAGCAGUAGGGAAUCUUCCGCAAUGGGCGAAAGCCUGACGGAGCAACGCCGCGUGAGUGAUGAAGGUCUUCGGAUCGUAAAACUCUGUUAUUAGGGAAGAACAUAUGUGUAAGUAACUGUGCACAUCUUGACGGUACCUAAUCAGAAAGCCACGGCUAACUACGUG